rnacentral:rRNA from 1 species
CCUACGGGAGGCAGCAGUAGGGAAUAUUGCUCAAUGGGGGAAACCCUGAUGCAGCAACGCCGCGUGGGUGAGGAAGUUUUUCGGAUUGUAAACUCCUUUUAUUAGGGAAGAUUAUGACGGUAUCUGACUAAGAAGCACCGGCUAACUCCGUGCCAGCAGCCGCGGUAAUACGUAGGGUGCAAGCGUUACUCGGAUUGACUGGGCGUAAAGGGUGCGUAGACGGGGUAUUAAGUCAGAAGUGAAAUCCUGGAGCUUAACUACAGGACUGCAUUUGAAACUGUUACUCUGGAGUGUGGGAGAGGUAGGUGGAAUUCUUGGUGUAGCGGUAAAAUCCGUAGAGAUCAAGAGGAAUACUCAUGGCGAAGGCGACCUGCUGGAACAUUACUGACGCUGAUGCACGAAAGCGUGGGGAGCAAACAGGAUUAGAUACCCUAGUAGUC